UACGUAGGGGGCAAGCGUUGUCCGGAAUCAUUGGGCGUAAAGAGCGUGUAGGCGGCCCGAUAAGUCCGCUGUGAAAGUCCAGGGCUCAACCCUGGAAUGCCGGUGGAUACUGUCGGGCUCGAAUCCGGAAGAGGUGAGUGGAAUUCCUGGUGUAGCGGUGAAAUGCGCAGAGUAUCAGGAGGAACACCAAUGGCGAAGGCAGCUCACUGGGACGGUAUUGACGCUGGAGAACGCGAAAGCGUGGGGAGCAAACAGG
rnacentral:rRNA from 1 species